GGGGAUUUAGCCCAGCGGUAGAGCGCUUGCCUAGCAAGCUCAAGGCCCUGGGUUCGAUCCCCAGCUCCG
rnacentral:tRNA from 1 species